CAGUCGCCGCGGUAAGACAGAGGAUGCAAGCGUUAUCCGGAAUGAUUGGGCGUAAAGCGUCUGUAGGUGGCUUUUCAAGUCCGCCGUCAAAUCCCAGGGCUCAACCCUGGACAGGCGGUGGAAACUACCAAGCUGGAGUACGGUAGGGGCAGAGGGAAUUUCCGGUGGAGCGGUGGAAUGCGCAGAUAUCAGGAGGAACACCAAUAGCGAAGGCAGCUCGCUGGUCUGUAACUGACGCUGAGGAGCGAAAGCGUGGGGAGCGAACAGGAUUAGAUACCCCUGUAGUCCCUGUCUCUUAUAC
rnacentral:rRNA from 1 species